rnacentral:rRNA from 1 species
GAUGAACGCUGGCGGCGUGCCUAACACAUGCAAGUCGAACGGACCGGAUGAAACCUAGUGAUUCCGGUUAGUGGCGGACGGGUGAGUAACGCGUGGGCAACCUGCCUCAUACAGGGGGAUAACAGAUAGAAAUAUCUGCUAAUACCGCAUAAGCGCACGGGAUCGCAUGAUCUUGUGUGAAAAACUCCGGUGGUAUGAGAUGGACCCGCGUCUGAUUAGCUAGUUGGUAGGGUAACGGCCUACCAAGGCGACGAUCAGUAGCCGGCCUGAGAGGGUGAACGGCCACAUUGGGACUGAGACACGGCCCAAACUCCUACGGGAGGCAGCAGUGGGGAAUAUUGCACAAUGGGGGAAACCCUGAUGCAGCAACGCCGCGUGAGUGAAGAAGUAUUUCGGUAUGUAAAGCUCUAUCAGCAGGGGAGAAGAAAGACGGUACCUGACUAAGAAGCACCGGCUAAAUACGUGCCAGCAGCCGCAGUAAUAC